UAAACUCAUCAACCAGAAUGCUGUGAAAGUGGGGAUAAGGAGAAUACCUGAAGCUGGGUGAUUUCUAAAGAAAGAAGUUUAUUUGACUCACAAUUCUGUGGCUGGAAAGUCCAAGAUUGGGCAACUGCAUCUGGUGAGAGCCUCCCUCAUGCUGCCUUGACUUAUGAUCCCAGAAUAAUGAAUGCUUCCUGCAAUCGUCAUCCUUACCAGGUUGGGAACACUUGGAUAUGUUAUGCUCCUUGUGAAUAGGGACUGUAUUUUGUUAUUCGCAUGUAGCAUAGUUCCAGGGCACAGUGGAUUACCAAUAUAUAUUUGCUGAAAUCAUGAAUAAGCUAGAUAUUUUUAUAUUUUUAUAAUUACAUUUAGACUAUUUUUCAAAUAAUUCCUGGGUUACAAAACAACAUACACAAAAAAGGCUGUGGACACAGCAGGGCAAGAAUAUUCAGACAUUUACAAAUGAACAAUUUGCUUUCUGUGAAAAUCUUGCUAUGUUGAAAAAAGGAUAGAGAAAUAGAUCGUGGAGCAUUAGCCAGUUAAUUCUAAGGAUAUUGACUUUAAAAAGUCCUAAGUC
rnacentral:lncRNA from 10 species